GCAAAAUAAUUUAAACUAAAAAAUGUUAUUAUUUAUUUAUCCAAAGAUCAAAUAAAGGGCAUCGGCAAGUACAUGUCCAGACUUCUGCGGAGCUUGCUCCCUUGUUGUUGGCUGUUUAUGAAAUUUGACCAACAUGCACGAGUGUGUUGGUGUUUGUGUUCUUGUGCGCGUAUCCUGUUCAUCUAUGUGGGUUUGUGUGUGCGAAUUCCACCGGAAGUUAAACAUGCCAAAGAGGUAGGGAAAGUAGGAGUCUCGUGUGUGUAUGUGAUUACGACAACGGCUGCCGCGGCAACGGGCAGCGGAGCCAAACGCUGCAUGCUCAUAAUAAUUUCUUAUUUAGUGAACCAUCAGGUGAUGGGCGCCACAAUGGAGCACACACACCCGCUGACCCACUGCUACCACUCCCAUUCCAGCUGCCCACCACUGACAUGUUGUUCGGCUAUUUUGUCGCUUGAUUUUCUCUUUUUUUUCAUUUCAGAACCCGAACCAGUCCAGACCUCGACCUCUGUCGUCCUCCUGCUCUAUGUCGCUGCUUGUGUGUCAGAUUUGUCCAGUUUUUCCAGCUGUCAGUGUUGCUGUUAUUCUCGCUGUUUUUCCGGGACCAUAGAAGGUAUUUAAAUUCAAAUUAGGCAAAUGUCAUGUUCUGUUUUGCUGACAACCCAAUGACAAGAAAAGAAGUUGCUCGGGAAUCAACACAAUGGAAAAUCACAGCAAAAUGUGC
rnacentral:lncRNA from 1 species